UAGGGCACGAACUUCUGAAUGGACCCUUU
rnacentral:piRNA from 1 species